UCCAUGUUUUUCUAAUUUAUUCGCACAAUUAUUUUCUUCACGACAUUCAAAAUUAAAUCAGACAUCUUAGUUUAAAAAACGAGACACAAUUCUACGUUGUCGCAGUGUAUGAUGUGGCUAUUUUCUACAUCCUCCUUCUGUUUUUUUUUCUAGUUAUUUAACAAAAUUAAAGACAUGUUAUUCUGAUUCUCGCAUGUCUUUGUUCAGUUUGAAAUAUUAAAAUUUUGGUAUUUUUAUCAUUUUAUGUCAACUAAAAUUUAUUUAUUUUCUUUACAAUAUUGUCUUUUGAUGCAUUAAGCUUUUCAGAGAUAGGAAAAUGUUUCCCUACAUCAUGUUUAUUUUCUUCCAGAGCUAAUUCCAAAACUAAUAUGUUAGUUUGUCAUGGUAGUAGACUAGUAGCUAGAGUCGGUCCAGAAAAGAAGCAGACUAAUAAUGAGCUUGCGGUUCUUAUUUUUAUGAGAUAUUUUGGAAUGUAAACGUUUUUCAAACAUAUAAUUUGUUAACUAUGUAUUUAUUAUAGAAAUUUCAAAAUUUUAAUAUGUAGGUAAUUUUCUCUUUCCUCCUCUAAUACAACAUGGAGGCUCGAUAAAUUACAAUAUCAGAUCAAAAGAAAAGGAAAAAAAAAUUUUGAAAUCGAAAGAAACAAAAAUGAAGAAACAAAGCUAAAUCAAACCGGAGAAAAAGUCGGACGAAUCACAGCGAAAGAAACAUAGGUGGACUCAUCAAAGAUAGAGCCAAAUAGUCUCCCUGUCGAAGCUGAGAGAUCGUCAAAACAGAGCCUAUCAAACGUAUUAAGGAAGUUACCAGUGCUGGAGCCAUAGCUAGCUACUAUUGGUAAGGAAGAGAGGAAGCACCACUAGAGGUCUAAACUGAAAGGCUUAAAGGGAGAGAAAUCUAUGAACCCUCUCACAAUUCCGGUGAAAAGCGCUGAAAUCGAAGAUGUUAAGCAGAAAAAAACUUUUGAGGUGGUGAAGUGUACAUGUUUAUGGCAGCGAUUGAAGGCGAUUCUAGGGUUUUGGUUGGGAAAGAUCAUGACGCCACGAUGGUGGACAUUGGGGGGAGGGUUAGACCGCUAGGUGAUCCACCUGUUGUGCCUCGUUCGUGGGUGCAGAAGGUAGUUGGUAAUAAUGGACGAUGAUGCCAAUUCCGGAAGAUGUCAUGGAUGAUGUGUUUGUGUCAGAGAGGUUGCGGUUGGAGUUUUCGAAUGGGGAUGAUGGGGAACCAGUCAUUACGAUAGGUGACAAGAUUUUGACAACGAUGUAUGGGUUAUAGAAGAAAUGUAUGUUUGUCAAGGUGUUAGGGUGGCACAUCUCACUCCCUGUUCUGAACCGAAAACUUUGAGAGAUGUGUAAACCUAGUGGAGCAAUGUUUGUUAUGGAUCUCCCCCAUCAAUUCUUUAAGUGUAUGGUUUGAGAAGGAGGAGGAGUAUCUGGCAGCGCUUACAGGGGAUCCAUGGAGAGUGUUUGGUAACUACCUCAUUGUCCAAGCUUGGACCCUGGAAUUUGGUCCUUUGAAGCACGAGAUUGUUACGAUUCCGGUGUGGGUCCAUCUCGUGAACCUCCAUGUGCACCUUUAUCAGAAAUCGAUUUGGGAAUUUUAAAGGGUUUGGGGAAGCCACUUAAGGUGGAUUUCACCACGUUACACUUCGAGAGAGCACAUUUUGCUCGAGUGUGUGUUGAGGUAAAUCUGCAGCUGCCGCUCAAAAGGUCAAUGUUGAUCAACGGGCAACAUUAUUUUGUAGCAUAUGAGGGUUUAACGAACAUUUGCUCUGCUUGUGGCAUGUAUAGAAAUUUAGUGCAUAAUUGCCUGCAAGUCGUUAGGGAGAAGGCCCCUCUUGUGUAUGUUCUAGCUACGGUUGCUACUCUAACUGCAGGUCGAGUGUCUCCAGGAUUGGAGGAUGGUUUCACUGUGGUAAGAAACAUGGGAAGAAGAGUACACUCUUUAGCUCAACCUUCUUUUCUGGCGGCAGGAGCAGUGAGAAAUACCGGAGGUAAUCCUAACCGGGAUACUUCGAUGAUCGGAGAUCCUGCAUUAAUUGAGGUUUCAAAUAGUUUGGGAAAUUUGGAGGUGGAUUUGGUAACUGAUACGGUAAGGCAAGUUGGGGAUUCGAUAGUGGGGAGUAAGGAAAGUGAGAAUAUUCAAAAUUGAGUAGGGAAUAAGGAAAGUGAUAAUAUUCAGAAUCGAGGGAUCUCAGGGAAGAGUGCUGCCCAAGGGAAGCCGUUGGUGUUUGGUGCUUUGUUGGAAGUAAAGAAUGAUAGUGGUCAUGAAGGACAUGCUCAUCGAAGGCCUAUUAAGCAUAAGGCCUCAACGAUUAACGGGCCGAAGCCCAACUCUUCUAAAUUUUCUCAGCCUACUCGUGGUUUAGUGUUUAGCCCGAUUGGGGGGGAAAUCAGAAGUUUCGGUGAAUCGGAAACAACUGAGGGUUGAUGAUGGUGGUGUCGGGAGAGCCGGUGUCCCUUUUCCGGUGGAGAGAGCAGAUAAACCGGUCUUGAUGGGAUUGGGAUUGGGUAAUUUGGAGAAGAAUGAGAAUGUACGUUUGGGUUUGGGAAAGCUGCCUUUAUCUACGGGAAUUGAUUCUUUUAAUGGAUUGUUAGAGAAUGGGAAGGAGAAUCGUUCCGAUUAGCGGUUCUUCCCGGUAGUUCUAGUUAUUUUAACAGAAGGGUUGAUGAGUUGCAUUCUUAAGUUCAAGGGAUAUGUCAGUCGAUGCUCGCAUCAUGGAUUCAGCAAUGCUUCUUUACUAAGCACCCUCUACCGCGGUGUAGUCUUUAAGAUACAGAUGUUGCUGGACACCGCCAACAAUGGGAGCUUAGUCAAUAAGGAUGUUGACGAAGGUUGGGCACUCGUGGAGAAUUUGGCCCAAUUUGACGGGCAUUAUAACGAAGACUAUGAUCGCACCAUCCACUCUUCCGGUGAGUACGAUGCGAAGUACAAGAGGGACAUGAAAGACCUUAAUGACAAGUUGGACAAACUCCUUCUAAGCCAACAACAACACGUCAACUCUGUUUCCGAGGAAUAAUAGUUUCCGAAACAGGAUGGGGAGAGUAUUCAGCUUGAGGAUGUAAACUACAUCAACAACCAAGGAGGUUACAACAAGGGAUACAACAACUACAAACCGAACCAAAAUUUCUCCUACCGUAACCCGAAUGUUACCCAUCUGUAGUUCAAGGGAACCAAGACCCGUCGAAGCUUUUUGUACAAUACAAUCAAAGUUAUGCUCCAAAGCAACACUACUCCGGUGAUUAUCACCAGCCAAUGGCACCACAUGGCUUUCCCUUACAACAGGGACCACCAAACCCGCCUCAAGAGGCUGACCUACAAGGUUUGAUCCAAGGCCAGGCAUCGACAAUGCCAAACGGUUUGCAGGGAUGAGCAACAAGAUAGUUUAUGGGUAUAACGACCUCAAUGCUAAGUAUGACUCUGUGAAUACAAAGUUGAGGUAUCUGUAAGGCCAAACCGUCAUGCAACCAGCUCUGAAGCCUGGCCAACUACCAGGUAAAUCUGUUUAGAACCUAAAGGACUAUGCAACCGCACAUGCCAUCUGGAUUCAUGAUGUAGCUGACUACUUCACCAAGGACAGUGACGAUCAUGAUGUGGAAGAUAUGGAUCACAGUCAGAUCUAUGAGCAACAAUACUGCUUAUCCGAGUAUCAAAUCGAUAAGCCACACGAUCACCCCGAUCGAGCUGACGAUCGACUACCAACUCGUGAAUUACUGACUGACGCAUCACUCGACGCUGAGCCCGAAGCCUUACCUGAUGAUCAUGAUCGGAUAGACCAUCGAGCAAACAUUCAUAUGACAGAUCGAUCACAACCUCCUGCAACCGAGGAAGGUGAAUUGGAGAAAAUAUUCAGAGCAGCACUUGACAUUCAAUUAGAACCACUUGCAGAGCGUAUAUCUAACCGGGAAGCCCCCGCUCCUAAGUUCUUGCCGCCACAUGCUCUUAGAGAGGAAAAUUUCAAAGAGACAGCUCAGUGGGAGAUAGCAGCAAAGGAAGCCGUUAGGGAAAUUGGGAAUGCAAUCCUAAAGAGUUGAGUAUGUUUAGAUACAGAUCUGAAGAUCCAAGAGAAACUAGAGGACCCUGGCUCUUUCACACUUCCAUGUUCACUAGGUCUUCGAAUUUUCACCAGUUGCUUGUGUGAUUUAGGAGCUUCAGUUAGUGUCAUGCCUAUUUCAGUUGCCAAAAAGAUGGGUUUCAGUAGUUUUAAACUCAGUAGCCUCUACCUUGUCCUAGCUAAUAGAACUAUUAGGCACCCGUAUGGGGUUCUGGAGAAUUUACCUCUCAGGGUUGGAAGAGUGGAAAUCCCCACCGAUUUCGUAGUCCUAGACAUGGAUGAGGAACCAGAAGAUCCACUGAACCUUGGAAGGCCAUUCUUGGCAACAGUUGGUGCGAUAAUCGAUGUGAAAAAGGGACAAAUAAACAUUGAACAUGGAGAGCACUUCAAGAUGAAAUUUAACACCAAAAGCAGAAAUAAAGAAAGGCUAACUAUCAAUGGUGAGGUCUUCUCCAUUCAAGUGCUACGAGCACGAGCUGUCUUCGCUGUAGAACCAGGAAAAGAAUCACUGAACAUGUCUGUUGCAUUGGAGAGGAUCCUUAAACCUAUCUAUUCCAAAUACAAUGCUUGAAAAGAAUGAAAAGUCAAGCUAAGUGACUUUAAACAAGCUCACUUAGGAGGAAGUAUCAAAGAACCCGAGGUGGAACCUGAAUACGUACUCGAGGCGCCUAAUUGUGUUUAUGCUCGAGUGGCGAGUGAAGUCCGAAUUCCCCAAACCUCUUAUCCCACUCUUGGAGAAACCCUAGCAGCUAGAUCCUCUAUUUAAAGGAAUUCAAACCUCUCCUCUCCUGCAUCACAAAAUUGAUAAGUCAGCUCUCAACCCUAAAACUCUUUAGCUUCCAAGUUUCUAUUUUCUUUCUAAGGGUCGAGUUUUCUUAGAUUUUUGGGGAACUAACCCUAUUAAUCUCGAGUUUUAGUGUUCUUUUCUUUUUUCAAGGAUUCAUCUAUGGCUCCCAAGAUCAAAACCUACAAGAACAAGGGCACCUCAUCUACCUCCGCCGCUGCCAAAACCAGAGAAGGAGGUGACCCUGCAAUGCGAGGAUGACACGGUUUGACCUAGGAACAUCGGUCGAUGCCGUGUGGAGGUGUCGGU